AUUGACCGCUGGCGGCAGGCCUAACACAUGCAAGUCGAGCGGAAACGAAGGGAGCUUGCUCCCAGGCGUCGAGCGGCGGACGGGUGAGUAACACGUGAGAAUCUGCCCAUUAGUGGGGGACACCUCGGCGCAACUCGAGCUAAUACCGCAUAAUCCCUACGGGGGAAGGCAGGGGACCUUUUCGCCUGGCGCUGAGGGAUGAGUGCCCGUCGGAUUAGCUUGUUGGUGAGGUAAAGGCUCACCAAGGCGACGAUCCGGAGCUGGUCUGAGAGGAUGAUCAGCCACACUGGGACGGAGACACGGCCCAGACUCCUACGGGAGGCAGCAGUGGGGAAUCUUGGACAAUGGGGGCAACCCUGAUCCAGCCAUGCCGCGUGUGUGAAGAAGGCCUUCGGGUUGUAAAGCACUUUCAGCAGGGAGGAAGGCUUUGGCCGAAUAGGUUGAAGUACUGGACGUUACCUGCAGAAGAAGCACCGGCUAAAUACGUGCCAGCCGCCGCGGUAA
rnacentral:rRNA from 1 species